GUUUGGUGUGGAGAAGGUGGUUGUUGUGGGUUUUGAUGACGCUGCCCAUGUUUCUUGUGCAACUGUAGCUAUCUUUUGCGUUGUUUUUGUUGAACAAUUUGUGCAAAGUGCUGUCUUUGGGGAAGUGCUUUUUGACCAGGUUAAGGAAAGUUCUGCCGAUGUUUGUUUUGACGUUUUUGCUGAAAGGUUUAUGGAAUAAGUACGUGUACUCGCAUACGGACAGAGUUUUGCGUGUCUCUUCAUGUUGGCUAUUUGGAAGACUAGUUGUUUAUAAAAUUCACUGCUCAUCCAACUUCUAUUCCAUAUUCACAAAUGGUAAGAAUCAGACGCAUCUGUUCCGACAAUAUUGAUUAUUUUGAAAAUCAAGCUACUAAAAAUGUCAUCAUUUUUCCACAACAGAGGAUAACCGGACCACAUUACAAACAGCGCCCUCAUGAGGUUCAUAAACUGUCGCAAAAAGACACUUUGAAAGACGCUACCAAUACAAAAUUAAACCGGACACCACUUGUACUAGCAUAUCCUCUAGUUGCUAAAAAAAAAGUUAAUAGCAUCAAAAAAAGUAAUUUUCAUAUUCUGACGAGUGAUAACUCUACAAAAGAAAUAUUCAAUUCUCCGCCAAUAUUGGCUUACAGAAGGGACCAAAUAGACACUAAACGGAAUAUUCCACUGGAUCUACAGUCGCCUGCAAUAAACUUCGACACAAUACGUGCAAACACAUCACCUCCAUUACUUCUAUCACAGGACCCUCUGGUACUUACAGGAUCAAUGGACAUUUUUCUUGCACUUUUACUAAUUUCAUUUAUGCACUAAAUGCUAUCUUAUAAUAUAAUGGCGAAACGUAGACUGCAGAGAGAUUCACCUAACACAAUGCUUCGUAAGACUCAACCAACCCCGACUUCCUAUAACCGUACACUUCUCCAAUAAUCAUAGUAAAGAAGAUAUUGCCGUCACGGCUGUCACUGUAUGCCACGGACAAGAUACUACAGAAAAAACAUAGCAAAAAAUAGUUUACAAACUUGUGCUGGACAAAAUGUUUCAUUUAAUGCUAAUAUAUUUUUAAUUAUGAUAC